rnacentral:rRNA from 1 species
GAUGAACGCUGACAGAAUGCUUAACACAUGCAAGUCGAUGGGGAAGUGGUGCUUGCCCCAUGGCAACCAUGGCGGACGGGUGAGUAACGCGUAAGGGACUUACCUGCAGGACUGGGAUAACAGGGGGAAACUCCUGACAAGACCGGAUAAUGUCAUGGAGCUGCAUGGCUUUACGAUGAAAGGAGACGCCUGCGGAGAGCCUUGCGUCCUAUUAGCUAGUUGGUGAGGUAAUGGCUCACCAAGGCGAAGAUAGGUAGCCGGCCUGAGAGGGUGGACGGCCACGAGGGGACUGAGAUACGGCCCUUACUCCUACGGGAGGCAGCAGUGGGGAAUAUUGGACAAUGGGGGCAAGCCUGAUCCAGCAAUUCUGUGUGCACGAAGAAGGUUUUCGGAUUGUAAAGUGCUUUCAGCAGGGAAGAAGUAAGUGACGGUACCUGCAGAAGAAGCGACGGCUAAAUACGUG